GAUGAACGCUGGCGGCGUGCCUAAUACAUGCGAGUCGAGCGAACAGAUAAGGAGCUUGCUCCUUUGACGUUAGCGGCGGACGGGUGAGUAACACGUGGGUAACCUAUCUAUAAGACUGGAAUAACUCCGGGAAACCGGGGCUAAUGCCGGAUAACAUGUUGAACCGCAUGGUUCUACAGUGAAAGGCGGCUUUGCUGUCACUUAUAGAUGGACCCGCGCCGUAUUAGCUAGUUGGUGAGGUAACGGCUCACCAAGGCAACGAUACGUAGCCGACCUGAGAGGGUGAUCGGCCACACUGGAACUGAGACACGGUCCAGACUCCUACGGGAGGCAGCAGUAGGGAAUCUUCCGCAAUGGGCGAAAGCCUGACGGAGCAACGCCGCGUGAGUGAUGAAGGUCUUCGGAUCGUAAAACUCUGUUAUUAGGGAAGAACAAAUGCGUAAGUAACUGUGCGCGUCGUGACGGUACCUAAUCAGAAAGCCACGGCUAACUACGUG
rnacentral:rRNA from 1 species